rnacentral:rRNA from 1 species
AUUGAACGCUGGCGGCAUGCUUUACACAUGCAAGUCGAACGGUAACAGGUUAGGCUGACGAGUGGCGAACGGGUGAGUAAUGCAUCGGAACGUGCCCGGUCGUGGGGGAUAACGCAGCGAAAGCUGCGCUAAUACCGCAUACGAUCUAAGGAUGAAAGCGGGGGACCGUAAGGCCUCGCGCGAUCGGAGCGGCCGAUGUCAGAUUAGGUAGUUGGUGGGGUAAAGGCUCACCAAGCCAACGAUCUGUAGCUGGUCUGAGAGGACGACCAGCCACACUGGGACUGAGACACGGGCCAGACUCCUACGGGAGGCAGCAGUGGGGAAUUUUGGACAAUGGGCGAAAGCCUGAUCCAGCAAUGCCGCGUGCAGGAAGAAGGCCUUCGGGUUGUAAACUGCUUUUGUACGGAGCGAAAAGGUCUCCUCUAAUACAGGGGGCUCAUGACGGUACCGUAGAAUAAGCACCGGCUAACUACGUGCCAGCCGCCGCAGUAA